AUGGACACGUUUAGAAGACCACAUCUUCAUCCUGAAAGCACAGAUGUGUGGAAACUAAUGACCAAGCAUA
rnacentral:snoRNA from 10 species